AACAUCAACUGGUCCACAUAGCAUGAUGACAAUAAAACCUCAUCUUCUUGUGCUUAAUUAUUCAAACACUCAACCAAAUGAAGCAUUUUUCUUUCUUGCUGCUUCCUUAUGCAUACCCACAUCUUCUUCUUCUUCUUUUUACUUUAACUGCAAUGUGUGUUGUCCCAAACAGAAUUUCAGGUUUGGUGCUAGGAAAUCAGACUGAUUAUUUAACAUUGCUCCAAUUCAAAGAUUCAAUAUCAAUUGACCCAAAUGGAGUCUUAGAUUCUUGGAAUAGUUCAACACACUUUUGCAAUUGGCAUGGAAUCACAUGCAGCCCCAUGCAUCAAAGAGUUAUAGAAUUGAACCUACAAGGAUAUGAAUUGCAUGGAUCAAUAUCUACUCAUAUUGGUAAUCUCUCUUUUCUCAGAAACUUAAACCUUGCAAAGAAUAAUUUCUUUGGAAACAUCCCAAAUGAACUUGGAAGGUUGUUACAAUUGCAACAACUCCUUCUCACCAAUAACACCCUCUCAGGGGAGAUUCCUAUAAACUUGACCCACUGUUCCGAUCUUGAAGGCUUAUACUUGAGAGGGAACAAUUUGAUUGGAAAAAUCCCAAUUGAAAUCACCUCUCUUCAAAAGCUUCAAGUACUAAAUAUUCGGAAUAACAAGUUAACUGGAAGUGUUUCAUCAUUUAUAGGGAAUCUUUCAUCCUUAAUAUCACUUUCCAUUGGUUAUAACAACUUGGAGGGAAAUAUUCCGAAAGAAGUUUGUCGCCUCAAAAACUUGACAGGGAUAAUAAUGUUUCACAACAAAUUAUCUGGUACAUUUCCUUCUUGUCUUUUCAAUAUGUCAUCUCUUACUAUGAUAUCAGCUGCAGCUAAUCACUUUAAUGGCUCUCUUCCUCAUAACAUGUUCAAUACUCUCCGCAAUCUUCAAACUUUAGCAAUUGGUGGGAAUCAAAUAUCAGGUCCAAUACCUACUUCCAUUACAAAUGGUUCUUCCUUGACAUCAUUUGUUAUUAGUGAAAACUAUUUUGUCGGACAUGUUCCGAGUCUAGGAAAGCUACAAGAUCUUUGGAUGAUAAAUGUGGGUCAAAAUAAUCUAGGCAAAAAUUCAACCAAGGAUUUGGAAUUUUUAGAGUCAUUGAAAAACUGUAGUAAGUUGAUAGCUGUUAGUAUAGCCUAUAAUAAUUUUGGAGGUAGUUUGCCAAAUUCCAUUGGUAAUUUAUCCACCCAACUUAGUCAACUAUAUCUUGGAGGUAAUAUCAUAUCAGGAAAGAUUCCUAUGGAAAUAGGAAAUCUAGUUGGCUUAACUCUCUUGACCAUAGAACUUAACCAACUUGAUGGAAUUAUUCCAUCUUCUUUUGGGAAGUUUCAAAACAUGCAAUUGUUGGAUUUGAGUCGAAACAAACUGUCCGGAGUUAUACCAACCACCUUAGGCAACCUCAGUCAAUUGUAUUACCUAGGUUUAGGUGAAAAUAUGCUACAAGGAAAUAUUCCUUCAAGCAUAGGAAACUGUCAAAAGUUACAAUCCAUAGUCCUUUUUCAAAAUAAUCUUAGUGGAACCAUACCCUUAGAGGUUUUUCGUCUUUCCUCUUUAUCAAUAUUACUGGAUUUGUCAAAAAACUCAUUCAGUGGCAACUUACCGAAAGAAGUCAGUAUGCUAACAACAAUAGAUACCUUAGAUGUCUCUGACAAUCAACUUUCUGGUAACAUUUCUGAAACCAUUGGUGAAUGCAUAAGCUUAGAAUAUCUUUAUUUUCAAGGGAACUCCUUUCACGGAAUCAUACCAUCCUCUUUAGCUUCUCUUAGAGGUCUUCGAUAUUUAGACCUAUCAAGAAAUCGGUUGACUGGAUCAAUUCCUAGUGUUCUGCAAAAUAUUUCUGUUUUAGAAUACUUGAAUGUUUCUUUUAACAUGUUGGAUGGAGAGGUUCCUAAAGAAGGUGUCUUUGGAAAUGCUAGUGCAUUAGCAGUGACCGGGAACAAUAAGCUUUGUGGAGGUAUUUCGCAUCUGCACCUACCACCAUGCCGUGUCAAACGUAUGAAAAAGAAAAAACAUCGUAACUUUCUUUUGAUGGCGGUGAUAGUUAGUGUGAUUUCUUUUGUUAUCAUAAUGCUUCUUAUUGUAGCUAUCUACUUGAGGAGAAAGAGAAACAAAAAACCAUCUUCAGAUUCACCAACAAUUGACCAAUUACCUAUGGUUUCCUACCAAGACUUAUAUCAGGCAACCGAUGGGUUCUCGGAUAGAAACUUGAUUGGAUCAGGAGGCUUCGGUUCCGUGUAUAAAGGAAAUCUUAUGUCAGAAGAUAAAGUUAUUGCUGUUAAGGUCCUGAACCUUGAAAAGAAGGGAGCUCACAAGAGUUUUAUUACUGAAUGUAAUGCUCUCAAAAAUAUUAGACAUCGAAAUUUAGUUAAGAUUUUAACUUGUUGUUCUAGUAUUGAUAACAAAGGUCUAGAAUUCAAAGCUCUAGUUUUUGAGUACAUGAGAAAUGGAAGCUUAGAACAAUGGUUGCAUCCCGGGACAAUGAAUGCAGAUCAUCCAAGAACAUUGAAGUUUGAGCAAAGAUUAAAUAUCCUUGUCGAUGUUUCUUCUGCAUUACAUUACCUUCAUCAUGAAUGUGAGCAAUUGGUCCUUCAUUGUGAUCUAAAGCCAAGCAAUGUCCUUAUUGACGACGAUAUCGUUGCACAUGUGAGUGAUUUUGGCAUAGCAAGACUUGUAUCUUCUGCUGACAAUAACUCUUGUCAAGAAACUAGCACAAUUGGAAUAAAAGGGACCAUUGGCUAUGCUCCUCCAGAGUAUGGAAUGAGUUCUGAAGUUUCCACACAUGGUGAUAUGUAUAGCUUUGGGAUGCUUAUAUUGGAAAUGCUUACGGGAAGAAGACCGACGGAUGACAUGUUUACAGAUGGUCAAAAUCUGCGUUUGUAUGUUGAAAUUUCAUUUCCUGAUAACAUUAUGAAGAUUUUGGACCCGUGUAUUGUACCAAGAGUUGAAGAAGCAACAAUAGAUGAUGGAAGCAAUCGGCAUCUUAUUUCAACGAUGGAUAAAUGCUUUGUUUCCAUUUUUAGGAUUGGACUUGCCUGUUCGAUGGAAUCUCCCAAAGAAAGAAUGAAUAUAGAAGAUGCCACUAGAGAGCUAAACAUAAUCAGAAAGACUUUUCUCACUGGUGUUCACCCUCAUCACAAAUCAAAGCUGAAAUAAACUUCCAGAAUAAUUUGAGAAACAUAAGAGAAUGCACUAUGAUACACUGCUACUAGUGCAACUCUACCCAAAUCACAAGUAUAAAUUUAUUAAGCAGAACUUGGUGUAAGAAGCACCCAAGAACGCUAAAGCGGAACAAUUACAAGUGGUCAGAAAGUACGGAAAUAACAGGUAAGAAAAACAGCACCUAACUGCUGCUACAACAACUAAAACCACCGACACAAAGGGCCCCUAAAAUAACGACAAAGCGCCAAAACACAAGCGGCCAGCAGUGCCGAAACCCCACAGCAGCAAACACACAACCAGCAGCUGUGCCCUCUUGAAGAAACAUUUUAUUGACGAAAUGACAAAAGAAAUAGAAAAAAAAACAUUGACUUGUAGGGUAACAUUAAGGUAAAUCUCAAUAGCAAUGUCUUGAAAUUGCAACUUCCAAGUUUCCUGAGCUGUGAAUGAUACAUAUAUCAGUUUUGUCUUGAAUUUGAUUUCCUCUUCAAUUUAGGAUUUCCAAAAUCUGCAAGAAUACAUACGCAUUUGUAAUGUUAUUUUGCCAUUUUGUCUAUCUACCCAAAAAAAAAAAAAA